AACGAACGCUGGCGGCAUGCCUAACACAUGCAAGUCGAACGAGACCUUCGGGUCUAUUGGCGCACGGGUGCGUAACGCGUGGGAACCUGCCCUUAGGUUCGGAAUAACUCCCCGAAAGGGGUGCUAAUACCGGAUAAUGUCUUCGGACCAAAGAUUUAUCGCCUUUGGAUGUGCCCGCGUUGGAUUAGCUAGUUGGUAGGGUAAAAGCCUACCAAGGCGACGAUCCAUAGCUGGUCUGAGAGGAUGAUCAGCCACACUGGGACUGAGACACGGCUCAGACUCCUACGGGAGGCAGCAGUGGGGAAUAUUGGAGAAUGGGCGAAAGCCUGAUCCAGCAAUGCCGGGUGAGUGAUGAAGGCCUUAGGGUUGUAAAGCUCUUUUACCCGAGAUGAUAAUGACGGUACCGGGAGAAUAAGCUCCGGCUAACUACGUG
rnacentral:rRNA from 1 species